AUUGAACGCUGGCGGCAUGCCUUACACAUGCAAGUCGAACGGUAACGCGGGGCAACCUGGCGACGAGUGGCGAACGGGUGAGUAAUACAUCGGAACGUGCCCAGUAGUGGGGGAUAGCCCGGCGAAAGCCGGAUUAAUACCGCAUACGACCUACGGGUGAAAGCGGGGGAUCGCAAGACCUCGCGCUAUUGGAGCGGCCGAUGUCAGAUUAGGUAGUUGGUGAGGUAAAGGCUCACCAAGCCUUCGAUCUGUAGCUGGUCUGAGAGGACGACCAGCCACACUGGGACUGAGACACGGCCCAGACUCCUACGGGAGGCAGCAGUGGGGAAUUUUGGACAAUGGGCGCAAGCCUGAUCCAGCCAUGCCGCGUGCGGGAAGAAGGCCUUCGGGUUGUAAACCGCUUUUGU
rnacentral:rRNA from 1 species